AGCUCCAAUAGCGUAUAUUAAAGUUGUUGCAGUUAAAAAGCUCGUAGUUGGAUUUGGGACUGGAGUCGUCGGGUCGGCCGCGAGGUCUGUUACUGGACGGCUCCGUCAUUUCAUCUCUCGGAGACCCGUCGUGCACUUCGCUGUGCGCGGCGCGGGACUCGGGACGUUUACUUUGAAAAAAUUAGAGUGUUCAAAGCAGGCUAUCGCUUGAAUACAUGAGCAUGGAAUAAUGGAAUAGGACUUUGGUCCUAUUUUGUUGGUUUCUAGGACCGAAGUAAUGAUUAAGAGGGACAAUUGGGGGCAUCCGUAUUUCGUUGUCAGAGGUGAAAUUCUUGGAUUUACGAAAGACGAACAACUGCGAAAGCAUUUGCCAAGAGUGUUUUCAUUAAUCAAGAACGAA
rnacentral:rRNA from 1 species